rnacentral:rRNA from 1 species
UACGAAGGGGGCGAGCGUUGUUCGGAUUUACUGGGCGUAAAGGGCGCGCAGGCGGCUUAUUUUGUCAGGCGUGAAAUCCCCGGGCUCAACCCGGGAACUGCGUCCGAUACUGGAAGGCUUGAAUCCGGGAGAGGGAUGCGGAAUUCCAGGUGUAGCGGUGAAAUGCGUAGAUAUCUGGAGGAACACCGGUGGCGAAGGCGACAUCCUGGACCGGUAUUGACGCUGAGGCGCGAAAGCCAGGGGAGCAAAGCGGG